rnacentral:rRNA from 1 species
AUUGAACGCUGGCGGCAUGCUUUACACAUGCAAGUCGAACGGUAACAGCACUUCGGUGGCUGACGAGUGGCGAACGGGUGAGUAAUACAUCGGAACGUGCCUAGUAGUGGGGGAUAACUACUCGAAAGAGUAGCUAAUACCGCAUGAGAUCUAAGGAUGAAAGCAGGGGACCUUCGGGCCUUGCUCUACUAGAGCGGCUGAUGGCAGAUUAGGUAGGUGGUGGGAUAAAAGCUUACCACGCCGACGAUCUGGAGCUGGUCUGAGAGGACGACCAGCCACACUGGGACUGAGACACGGCCCAGACUCCUACGGGAGGCAGCAGUGGGGAAUUUUGGACAAUGGGCGCAAGCCUGAUCCAGCAAUGCCGCGUGCAGGAUGAAGGCCUUCGGGUUGUAAACUGCUUUUGUACGGAACGAAAAGCCCUCUUCUAAUACAGGAGGGUCAUGACGGUACCGUAAGAAUAAGCACCGGCUAACUACGUG